GAUUAUGGUCCAACUUUUCAUAUUCAAAUUUGUUUAUUAGGAUAAACCCCUUGAGAUGUAUCAUCUCGUUUUCAUAGGGGGGUCCCAACAUAUAACACAAUCCUUUCAUAACAACAGAGGAGUGAAAGAAAAUAAAAUUAAA